AUAUAGUGGCAGACGGGUGAGUAACGCGUGGAAACGUGCCUUUCACUACGGAAUAGCUUUUGGAAACGAAAGGUAAUACCGUAUACGCCCUCCGGGGGAAAGAUUUAUCGGUGAAAGAUCGGUCCGCGUUAGAUUAGCUAGUUGGUGAGGUAACGGCUCACCAAGGCUACGAUCUAUAGCUGGUCUGAGAGGAUGAUCAGCCACACUGGGACUGAGACACGGCCCAGACUCCUACGGGAGGCAGCAGUGGGGAAUAUUGCACAAUGGGCGCAAGCCUGAUGCAGCCAUGCCGCGUGAAUGAUGAAGGCCUUAGGGUUGUAAAAUUCUUUCGCCAAGGAUGAUAAUGACAGUACUUGGUAAAGAAGCCCCGGCUAACUUCGUGCCAGCAGCCGCGGUAAUACGAAGGGGGCUAGCGUUGUUCGGAAUUACUGGGCGUAAAGCGCACGUAGGCGGACUUUUAAGUCAGAUGUGAAAUCCCGAGGCUCAACCUCGGAACUGCAUUUGAAACUGGGAGUCUAGAGAUCAGGAGAGGUUAGCGGAAUACCGAGUGUAGAGGUGAAAUUCGUAGAUAUUCGGUGGAACACCAGUGGCGAAGGCGGCUAACUGGACUGAUACUGACGCUGAGGUGCGAAAGUGUGGGGAGCAAACAGGAUUAGAUACCCUGGUAGUCCACACCGUAAACGAUGAGUGCUAGUUGUCUGCAGGCAUGCCUGUAGGUGACGCAGCUAACGCAUUAAGCACUCCGCCUGGGGAGUACGGCCGCAAGGUUAAAACUCAAAGAAAUUGACGGGGGCCCGCACAAGCGGUGGAGCAUGUGGUUUAAUUCGA
rnacentral:rRNA from 1 species